ACAACAGCAGUAGCAAGUCAACCACCAAUCCAGCAUUGGAUCCGGAUCUGGACAGCCCGGAUCAGCCGGGUCUGGAGUUUGCCCAAUUUGCUGCCGGCUGCUUUUGGGGAGUCGAAUUGGCUUUCCAGAGGGUUGGAGGAGUAGUGAAGACGGAGGUUGGGUACUCUCAGGGGAAUGUCCAUGACCCGAACUACAAGCUUAUUUGCUCCGGAACAACCGAACAUGCCGAGGCCAUUCGGAUCCAGUUUGACCCGAAUGUCUGCCCGUAUUCCAAUCUCCUUUCUCUAUUUUGGAGUCGCCAUGACCCGACCACUCUAAAUCGCCAG
rnacentral:lncRNA from 1 species